AUUAGAUACCCCACUAUGCUUAAGCCAUUAACCAAGGCAGAAAUAAAACCCCCUGCCCGCCAGAACACUACAAGCAAAAGCUUCAAACUCAAAGGACUUGACGGUGUUGCAAACCGGCCUAGAGGAGCCUGUCCCAUAAUCGAUAACCCACGCUCCACCUCACCCCCCCUAGCCUCCCAGCCUAUAUACCGCCGUCGAAAGCCUACCUUUUAAAAGCCCAGCCGUGAGCAAAACAGCCUAACAAGCUAACACGUCAGGUCAAGGUGUAGCAAACGGGGGGGGCACAAGAUGGGCUACAUUUUCUACCACAGGGCGUACCAUACAACCGCAUGAAACACGAACAAAAGCUGGAUUUAGUAGUAAGCAUGGCUAGUCAAACCACGCUGAAACCAGCGCUGC
rnacentral:rRNA from 1 species